rnacentral:piRNA from 1 species
UUCUCUAGCAGCUUGGGGGCCAGGU